GUUUGCUUUGGCAAGACAUAUACUAAAAUUGGAAUGAUACAGAGAUUACUAUGGCCCUUGUGAAAAGAUGACAUGCAAAUUUAUGAAACCAUCCAUAUUCAU
ensembl:snRNA U6 U6 spliceosomal RNA